rnacentral:snoRNA from 1 species
GAGAUCGUACUUCUAGGGACCAGUUCUAUAGUACGUAUCACCAGGACGUCAAACAAACUUGACCCUGGCCAACAUCAAUAGAGAAUGAAAUCUGA